rnacentral:rRNA from 1 species
UACGGGGGGGGCAAGCGUUGUUCGGAAUUACUGGGCGUAAAGGGUUCGUAGGUGGCCUGCUAAGUCUGAUGUGAAAUCUCUCCGCUCAACGGGGAGCAGCCAUUGGAAACUGGGCGACUGGAGUCUGACAGAGGUAGGCGGAAUUCCGGGUGGAGUGGUGAAAUGCGUAGAGAUCCGGAGGAACACCAGAGGCGAAGGCGGCCUACUGGGUCAGUACUGACGCUGAGCCGCGAAAGCCAGGGGAGCGAACGGG